rnacentral:rRNA from 1 species
UACGUAGGGUGCGAGCGUUGUCCGGAAUUAUUGGGCGUAAAGAGCUCGUAGGCGGUGUGUCACGUCGGCCGUGAAAACCUGCAGCUUAACUGUGGGCUUGCGGUCGAUACGGGCAUCACUGGAGUUCGGCAGGGGAGACUGGAAUUCCUGGUGUAGCGGUGAAAUGCGCAGAUAUCAGGAAGAACACCCGUGGCGGAAGGCGGCUCUCUGGGACGGUACUGACGCUGAGACGCGAAAGCGUGGGGAGCGAACAGG